CGCGUUAGGUGGUAGUGUAAGUCUGAGGUGGAAUCCUAUGGCUUAACCAUAGAACUGCCUUGGAUACUGUAUUACUUGAGUCAGUGAGGGGAGGGUAGAAUUCCUGGUGUAGCGGUGAAAUGCGUAGAUAUCAGGAGGAAGGCCUGUGGCGAAGGCGGCCCUCUGGUGCUGGACUGACACUGAGGCGCGAAAGCGUGGGGAGCAAACAGGAUUAGAUACCCUGGUAGUCCACGCCCUAAACGGUGGGCACUAGGUGUAGGGCUCGCAAGGGUUCUGUGCCGAAGGGAAACCAUUAAGUGCCCCGCCUGGGGAGUACGGCCGCAAGGUUGAA
rnacentral:rRNA from 1 species